UGUUUUAUUUCUUUGGCUGUAUCCUUAUAGGGCAUUGAAUAUCUCAAAGAAGAUAUAUCCGCAAUAGAUGUGGAGGCAAAGACCUAUCAGUUAAAGAGACAACAAAUCCAGCAAUGUACAAAAGUUCUUUAUGAACUGUUUAUCAAGAAAUGGAAAAAGGAAGAAUAUCUGCAAGAGUUAUUUCUUAAGUACCGCCAUGAGCUCUUGAUUAUUUUGGAAGAGUAUGUCAGAAGAGGUAGAAAGAGAAAUAUUAAGGUUGAUUACGUUCAUGAAGGACUACAGCUAAACUAUGAAGAGAUGGAUUCUCUGUUAAGAAGCAAAUAUUUGGAGGAGGCUGACAAAGAUAAAACAGACUUGAAUAAACUGAAAUUAGAAUACUGAAUCUUUUAUUCUUCUAUGAAUGCAGAUUCAAACAUGUAAGAAAAUACUGUGCUGUGAAAUCAAUAAAUUACACUAUUUUCAA